rnacentral:tRNA from 5 species
CGGGGCGUAGCGCAGCCUGGUAGCGUACCGGCAUGGGGUGCCGGUGGUCGUGAGUUCAAAUCUCACCGCCCCGACCA